CUAUCCUUGCAGAUCCUUGUAAGUUCUGUAUAAAUUCGAUUGAAUGGACACAGGUGCUGUCCUUAUAGUUUCCAUGACAUCAAGGAUCUUUUGCUGUUCUUUCAAAAUCUAUUGAAGGAUUCAAGGACUCAAAUCGCUCUUAAGGACCUCCACGACUCCAACAAAGUCAAGCAAAUCAGCUGCACACAAGGACAACAAAUGUGUAGAUGUAUUCUUAGAUGGCCGCAAAAAGCUUAGAUGCAGAUCGAUGCAGCUGAUUGAAGGAUUCAAGGACUCCAAUGGAUUCUAAGGACCUCUACGGCUCCGACAAGGAUAUCCCAACAAGGAUCGGAAGGAUAUUUAGCCAAAUAUAGCUAUUUUAAGUAAAAAUAAGAAAUUCAUUAAGAAUAC